rfam:Gallionellales bacterium GWE2_58_10 gwe2_scaffold_8532, whole genome shotgun sequence.
GAAGCUGGCCAGACAGUCGCCGCGCCCGCAAGGGCGGGGAGGAAAGUCCGGGCUCCGCAGAGCAGGAUGCCGGUUAACGGCCGGACGCCGUGAGGCGAUGGAAAGUGCCACAGAAAAUACACCGCCGAUGGCCCGACUUCGCCGCCCGCAAGGGCGGCAAAGUCAUCUCAAGAAGAGCAGGGGCGAAAGCUCCUGCGAAUAUUGAGAAGGGAUCAGGCAAGGUUGAAAUGGCGAGGUAAGAGCUCACCGCGCCGGUGGCAACAUCGGCGGCAGGGUAAACCCCAUCCGGAGCAAGACCAAAUAGGCAGGCCAUGACGUUGCUCGCGUCGCCUGCGGGUAGGUUGCUUGAGCGUCAGGUAACGAAACGCCUAGAGGAAUGACUGUCCACGACAGAACCCGGCUUACCGGCCAGCUUCACUU